rnacentral:rRNA from 1 species
AAAGCGUGCGCAGGCGGUUAUAUAAGUCAGUGGUGAAAUCUCCGAGCUCAACUCGGAAACUGCCAUUGAUACUAUUUAUCUUGAAUAUUGUUGAGGUAGGCGGAAUAUGUCAUGUAGCGGUGAAAUGCUUAGAUAUGACAUAGAACACCGAUUGCGAAGGCAGCUUGCUAAACAAUUAUUGACGCUGAGGCACGAAAGCGUGGGGAUCAAACAGGAUUAGAUACCCUUGU